CUUUUUAGCGCCAUCUGUCUCCUGGAGUCCUGGUCGCUCACUGUGCUUUACCAAAAAAAAACAAUUAAUUAGUUCAUAGGCUGGCGAGGAGUCUCCUCUGGUUUGGGGCCAAGAAGCCACCUGCCCCACUGGGCUCUGUCUUUUUCCUGGAACCCUUCCUGCUUCUUUGUUCAGCCUCCCACGGGACAGCGAACUUCAGUGGCAGCGCUGGUCUUGCUGACCCACCCUCCCGACUUGGACAGGGCCUGCCUGGCAUGGCAGGUGCUGUGAAGGAAGCCACAGGAUGGAAACCCUGAUGCUCUGCAGACAGAAACAGCUGCCGGGCUUGGGGACCUGGCUGGAUGUCUUCCCCCUGUGCCUCUGUUUCUCCAUCUGUAUAGUGGGAUGGCUGGCAGGGCCCAGGCCCCUCCCACCAUCCAUUCCAGGGCUGCUGCUCUCUGAAAAUACAUCCAAGAGCACAGGUACCUGGACGUGGUAUUCCUGGAUGGUUCUCAGCACGUGUUCCAGCAGGGCAAGAAGGGCCCAAUCCAAGAGACUGCAGCAGCCCUGGAAAGCCAGUGUUUACAGUGGAUAAGGACCACAAAAGAACAAGAAGGAACAUCCCUCCAGGAUUGUCCAUUUCCACCAGCGGUGUACGAGCAUUGCCACAGCUCCGCAGCUUCCUCGACGCUCAGCAUGGCUGACGUUUCCAAUUUCAACGACUCUGGUAUGUGAGUAGUGGCACUCACUGUGGUUUACAGGAUUCUCUCAAAACCUAAAUCUAACUGUGACACUCCCGUCUGCAAACUCUCCCACAUCAGGGACAAUUUGAACAACAAACUAAAGAAUGAUAGUAAAUAAAUUAUAAUCCAUAAAUAAUAGUCCACGAGUCCACACUUACGUACACACAUACACACACACAUAAGAAGGGUUAGCCGGGUGCAGUGGUUCAC
rnacentral:lncRNA from 1 species